UACGGAGGGCGCAAGCGUUGUUCGGAAUCACUGGGCGUAAAGCGCGUGUAGGCGGCUUGGUAAGUCGGGUGUGAAAGCCCGAGGCCUAACCUCGGAAAUGCACUCGAAACUGCCUCGCUCGAGUCCCGGAGAGGGUGGUGGAAUUCCCGGUGUAGAGGUGAAAUUCGUAGAUAUCGGGAGGAACACCAGUGGCGAAGGCGGCCACCUGGACGGUGACUGACGCUGAGACGCGAAAGCGUGGGGAGCAAACAGG
rnacentral:rRNA from 1 species